ACUCCUACGGGGAGGCAGCAGUGGGGAAUAUUGCACAAUGGGGGAAACCCUGAUGCAGCCAUGCCGCGUGUGUGAAGAAGGCCUUCGGGUUGUAAAGCACUUUCAGUAGGGAGGAAGGUAGUGUAGUUAACACCUGCACUUAUUUGACGUUACCUACAGAAGAAGCACCGGCUAACUCCGUGCCAGCAGCCGCGGUAAUACGGAGGGUGCGAGCGUUAAUCGGAAUUACUGGGCGUAAAGCGCAUGCAGGCGGCCUGUUAAGUCAGAUGUGAAACGCCCGGGGCUUAACCUCGGAAUUGCAUUUGAAACUGGCAGGCUAGAGUCUUGUAGAGGGGUUAGAAUUUCGAGGUGUAGCGGUGAAAUGCGUAGAGAUCUGAAGGAAUACCGAGUGGCGAAGGCGGCCCCGUGGACAAAGACUGACGCUCAGACUGCGAAAGCGUGGGAGCAAACAGGAUUAGAUACCCCGUGGUAGCGACUGA
rnacentral:rRNA from 1 species